rnacentral:rRNA from 1 species
AGUCAAGUGAAUAAGUGCAUCAGGUGGAUGCCUUGGCGAUGAUAGGCGAAGAAGGACGUGUAAGCCUGCGAAAAGCACGGAGAAGCUGGCAAAAAAGCAAUGAUACCGUGAUGUCCGAAUGGGGAAACCCACUGCACUCGUGCAGUAUCCUAGUCUGAAUACAUAGGGCUAGAGAAGCGAACCUGGAGAACUGAACCAUCUAAGUACCCAGAGGAAAAGAAAUCAACCGAGAUUCCGCAAGUAGUGGCGAGCGAACGCGGAAAAGCCUGUAUAUGAUAAUGGUUAGGAUAGAAGAAGGGAUUGGAAACUUCCGCCAUAGUGGGUGAUAGCCCCGUAUUUGAAAUCUUAACCAUGGUACUAAGUAUACGAGAAGUAGGGCGGGACACGUGAAAUCCUGUCUGAAUAUGGGGGGACCAUCCUCCAAGGCUAAAUACUCAUCAUCGACCGAUAGUGAACCAGUACCGUGAGGGAAAGGCGAAAAGAACCCCGGAAGGGGAGUGAAAUAGAACCUGAAACCUGAUGCAUACAUACAGUGGGAGCAUCUUUGUGGUGUGACUGCGUACCUUUUGUAUAAUGGGUCAACGACUUACAUUCAGUAGCGAGCUUAACCGAGUAGGGGAGGCGUAGGGAAACCGAGUCUUAAUAGGGCGACUAGUUGCUGGGUGUAGACCCGAAACUGAGUGAUCUAUCCAUGGCCAGGAUGAAGGUGCGGUAAAACGCAUUGGAGGUCCGAACCCACGCAUGUUGCAAAAUGCGGGGAUGAGCUGUGGAUAGGGGUGAAAGGCUAAACAAACUCGGAGAUAGCUGGUUCUCCCCGAAAACUAUUUAGGUAGUGCCUCGAGUAUGAGACUGAUGGGGGUAAAGCACUGUUAUGGC